GUGGCGCACGGGUGCGUAACGCGUGGGAAUCUGCCCUUGGGUUCGGAAUAACAGCGAGAAAUUGCUGCUAAUACCGGAUGAUGUCGUAAGACCAAAGAUUUAUCGCCCAAGGAUGAGCCCGCGUUGGAUUAGCUAGUUGGUGGGGUAAAGGCCCACCAAGGCGACGAUCCAUAGCUGGUCUGAGAGGAUGAUCAGCCACACUGGGACUGAGACACGGCCCAGACUUCUACGGGAGGCAGCAGUGGGGAAUUUUGGACAAUGGGCGCAAGCCUGAUCCAGCAAUGCCGCGUGCAGGAAGAAGGCCUUCGGGUUGUAAACUGCUUUUGUCAGGGAAGAAAUCUUCUGGGUUAAUACCUCGGGAGGAUGACGGUACCUGAAGAAUAAGCACCGGCUAACUACGUGCCAGCAGCCGCGGUAAUACGUAGGGUGCGAGCGUUGUCCGGAAUUAUUGGGCGUAAAGAGCUCGUAGGCGGUUUGUCGCGUCGGCUGUGAAA
rnacentral:rRNA from 1 species